GAUGAACGCUGGCGGCGUGCCUAAUACAUGCAAGUCGAGCGAACAGAUGAGGAGCUUGCUCCUCUGACGUUAGCGGCGGACGGGUGAGUAACACGUGGAUAACCUACCUAUAAGACUGGGAUAACUUCGGGAAACCGGAGCCAAUACUGGAUAAUAUAUUGAACCGCAUGGAUCAAUAGUGAAAGACGGUUUUGCUGUCACUUAUAGAUGGAUCCGCGCCGCAUUAGCUAGUUGGUAAGGUAACGGCUUACCAAGGCAACGAUGCGUAGCCGACCUGAGAGGGUGAUCAGCCACACUGGAACUGAGACACGGUCCAGACUCCUACGGGAGGCAGCAGUAGGGAAUCUUCCGCAAUGGGCGAAAGCCUGACGGAGCCACGCCGCGUGGGUGAUGAAGGUCUUCGGAUCGUAAAACUCUGUUAUUAGGGAAGAACAAAUGUGUAAGUAACUAUGCACGUCUUGACGGUACCUAAUCAGAAAGCCACGGCUAACUACGUG
rnacentral:rRNA from 1 species